rnacentral:rRNA from 1 species
CGGUAAUUCCAGCUCCAAUAGCGUAUACUAAAGUUGUUGCAGUUAAAAAGCUCGUAGUUGGAUUUCUGCGGGGACGGAGCGGCCGGACGCAACUUGCGUCUCGAGCUAGCGCUUUCCCCGCAUCCUGCCGCGAACCGUGCUACCAUUAGCUUGGUGGCGCUGGGGAUCGGCUCGAUUACUUUGAGAAAAAUAGAGUGUUCAAAGCAGGCCACACGCCUUGAAUAAGUUAGCAUGGAAUAAUGACUAAGGACUUCGGUUCUAUUUUGUAGGUGUUCGGGACUGAAGUAAUGAUUGAUAGGGACAGUUGGGGCGGUCUGUAUUCCAAAGCGAGAGGUGAAAUUCUUAGACCUUCGGAAGACAAACAGCUGCGAAAGCGUUCCGCAAGGAUGUUCCCUUUGAUCAAGAACGAAAGUUGGGGGAUCGAAGACGAUCAGAUACCGUCGUAGUCUCAACUAUAAACUAUACCAGCUAGGGAUCGGUCAACGUUUAAUCAUUCGACUUGAUCGGCACCUUAUGAGAAAUCAAAGCAUCUGGGUUCCGGGGGGAGUAUGGUCGCAAGGCUGAAACUUAAAGGAAUUGACGGAAGGGCACCACCAGCCGUGGAGCCUGUGGCUUAAUUUGACUCAACACGGGAAAACUUACCAGGUCCAGACAUAGUAAGGAUUGACAGAUUGAUAGCUCUUUCUUGAUUCUGUGGGUGGUGGUGCAUGGCCGUUCUUAGUUGGUGGAGUGAUUUGUCUGGUUAAUUCCGUUAACGAACGAGACCCCAGCCUGCUAAAUAGCGCGGCUGAGCUUUGCUCGGUGCGAGCUUCUUAGAGGGACUAUGAUGCGCGAUAGCACAUGGAAGUUUGGGGCAAUAACAGGUCUGUGAUGCCCUUAGAUGUUCUGGGCCGCACACGGGCUACACUGGCGCCUGCAACGAGCAUAUCAGCUGGCCCGAGAGGGUCUUGGCUAAUCUUUUGAACCGGCGCCGUGCUUGGGAUUGACCAUUGCAAUUGUUGGUCAUGCAACGAGGAAUGCCUUGUAAACGCGAGUCAUCAGCUCGCAUUGAAUACGUCCCUGCCCUUUGUACACACCGCCCGUCGCUCCUACCGAUGAAUGUUCCGAUGAAAUUUUCGGAGAGCGCCAGAGAACGGGGCUCUGCCUUGCAGAUCUGGAGGCUCAAAGUCACUUAAAUCUGAACAUUUCGAGGAAGGAGAAGUCGUAACAAGGUAACC